UACGGAGGGUGCAAGCGUUAUCCGGAUUCACUGGGUUUAAAGGGUGCGUAGGUGGGCAGGUAAGUCAGUGGUGAAAUCUCCGGGCUUAACCCGGAAACUGCCAUUGAUACUAUCUGUCUUGAAUACCCUGGAGGUGAGCGGAAUAUGUCAUGUAGCGGUGAAAUGCUUAGAUAUGACAUAGAACACCCAUUGCGAAGGCAGCUCACUACGGGACUAUUGACACUGAGGCACGAAAGCGUGGGGAUCAAACAGG
rnacentral:rRNA from 1 species